CCAGUGUGAGUUCCUGGCCUGGGGGGUAGACUUCGGCCACAGUUGGGGUGGAGCAUCCCAUGAAGAACAAAGGAACACAAAGAAUCAUGGAGAUGGUGAUGAUGGUGGUAGCUACACGGGGAAUGGUUUGUAGAGAGAAAACAAAGCGCUUCAUGAGGAUUCCUCCAAACAGCAUCCCCAAGGCUGCAGCAGGGAGGUUCACAGCACCUAUAAGUGGAAAGAAGGAGGUGAUCCAGGUGCACAGGCCUGGGACUGCAUGUGGGCUACAAACACUGAGCUGGAUCACUGAGAAGGAAGCGUGGCUUCAGGAAGGAACAUUUGGUAGAGUCAUGGGCUCUUGGAAACUUACCUUUGCUCCUAUGGGCAUUGCUCGAGGGAAGAAAAAAAAGGGGAAAGAGGUGAGAACCAAUAAGGCUGAAGAAAUGAGCAGGCCUAGCCACCAGGCUCCAAUCCAUCGGGGGUCACCCGGGACCAAGUUAACUGCAGCUGAAGAGAAAACGAAGAGUGCAAGUGUUUGUUGAAUGCAUGAUCUCACCUUACUGGAAACAGAACCUCUGAUCAGGGGGA
rnacentral:lncRNA from 1 species